rnacentral:rRNA from 2 species
UACGGAGGGUGCAAGCGUUAUCCGGAUUCACUGGGUUUAAAGGGUGCGUAGGUGGGUUGGUAAGUCAGUGGUGAAAUCUCCGAGCUUAACUUGGAAACUGCCAUUGAUACUAUCAGUCUUGAAUAUUGUGGAGGUUAGCGGAAUAUGUCAUGUAGCGGUGAAAUGCUUAGAUAUGACAUAGAACACCAAUUGCGAAGGCAGCUGGCUACACAUAUAUUGACACUGAGGCACGAAAGCGUGGGGAUCAAACAGG